rnacentral:lncRNA from 1 species
CUAAUUAAUUUUAAUUAACUUAAUUAUUAUGAUUUGACAUCAGUUCACCUUCUCACCUUAUACUGUGUUGGAGCAGCAGCAGCUGACUUGGUCGUUGAUGCUAAUCAGCAUGUUUUGAAUCUGAGAGUAAAUGGGUCUGACUACAACUCUAAAAAUACAGGGUUCAACUGGAGUUGUUCUGAGAUCCCCUAAGAACCAUAGGGUUCUUGGUCAAUGAAAAACAGCCCCAAAAGGUUCUUCAAAGAACAUGUUAGAAGGUGGGUUCAUCGAGGAACCUCCGUUGUUGCUGGACUUCUUCCGGGAACUUCGCAAUUACAACUGAAAACGAUGGUGACAACGAUGGUUUGGAUGCGACAACAGUUUGGAUGCGACAACAAUCUUCUCAGAAAUGAAUCAAGUCCAUGGAAUGGAUAUAGACAAAACGAGAAUUCAAGAACUAGCAGAGGUAGAGAGGCAGGGGUGAGGACAUCAUCCUGCUAUUUUGACAGUCCCUGAAGGACAAUACAGAAGAGAUUUCACCGCUCUUCACUCCUUUACUGCACAUCGGCGGAAAUCCAUUUCACCAUGAGAGUGAAAUCCCGCUGGCCUUUGAUGGGGAGAACUUCCACGCCCUCGAGGACGUCUCCGUGGGACUUGGGGCUCUGCUAGGGCUGUAUUUUUUAUUUUCCCUUAAAUUUGCUAUUUUGUAAUGUGUUUUGUUUGGUAAAUUGUUUUGUAAAUAUUAAUUCACAUUUGUGGUGCC